UAUUGUUACAGGGUGGACUUUGGACACUUUCCUUGCAUUUGUUCUUCCUUAUUGAAAACUGCAAGAAUUUCUAAACUUGCUAAUUUAAUAUAUAUUUUGUGCCAAAACCUAUGGUGAGAUUUUAAUGUUCACACGCAAAGGAGAGAAACACAAGGGAAAACAGCGACAUGCUUUCCACAGUAGUCUCGCCUCCACCCCACGUAUGUUCCAUUAGUUUUCUGUAUCACAUACGUGUACUUACUUUUUGGGCAUUCUCAUUUCAAAUGUUUCUGUCAAAUACUUCUUCACGUAAUGGCAUUUCUUAACGAGAACAGUAUUUUCAGCUUAAAGGAUGACAGCAGUCAGCAUUCAUCAAUAGUUCUGGUUCUGAGCUGCAGAUUUAGGAACCUGACUUCAAACGUCAAAGAAAAAUCUGCCCCAAAAGUGGCCUUUCCAAUGGAUUUUUAAGGCCCUAUUUAAUUGCAGAGAACAGAUUUUCCAAAGCAAAAAGCACACCUGCAUCUCCUGUGAAGCAUCACCUCUAAAUUGGCAGUAACCAGAAGUAAGCUUCCCUUAUUUUAAAUGAGCAAUAACAGGCUUUGAAAUGUAGCUACUUAUCUUGGGUAUUCCUUAACAAUUAAUUUAGGCCCAAAACGUAUGCAGUUUUAGUAACAGGGAAAGCGGGCCUAUCGAGAAUGCACACUUGUGCUUGCCAUCUGCCACUAUUUCAACACCCAUCGAUACAGCUGCAGUUUAACAACUCCUCAUGUUGUUAUAAGGACCGAUUCAAACGCUUGUAAAAAUCAACAGACCAGUUUUUGGUUUCUCUUAAGCUGGGCUGUGCUUUCUCUCUUUUCUCUCCGAGAAGACAAGGCAAAGCGUGGACUAGCCUGCACCACAGACUUAUCUCUGAACUCUGAGGGCGUAAGUUCUCCGCUGGUUUCUCUCAGCCUGUAAAGGGAGCAUGAAAUCCUUCUAAAUCAGGUCACAAACUGUCUGUGUAUUUCUUGUUUGGGGUUUUUAAACCUCUCUGUAACAACCAGUGAGUAGCUCCUUAGGUGCCACUAGAUAAAUCACUGUACUGGCAGGGAUUGAAAAGACAAUAACUGUAGUUGUGAACAUUUUUACUCAGGACGAGCAAGUCAAAAAUGGAAAUAAAAAGGUAAUAAAUUAAAAUUGUGCAUACCUGUGAUGAUAGUUUGGUUAAAAUCAGUUGUAUGUAAUUAUUUUCAAACAGUUGUUCUUGCUCUGUAUGUGACUUCAACUACAGAUGUAAAAGGCAUGAGAAGGUGAGAAAAUUAAUGGGGUUCAUAAUGUUUUUGAGGUUUUUAGCUGAAUUUUUUGCAGCCUUUUUGCUUAGCUGGUAGAGAUGUAAAAAACCUCUAAACUGAGCAAUCCAGUGGAAAGAACAAUGGCUCACAUACCUCGGCUGAUAAACCCCAGGAAAGCCCCGUGCAUGAAGGGAUACGGAUGCUGAUGUUCUCAACCAAGUUGUAGUUGCAUUAGGCCAGGACUGAAAUGUGUUGGUGCAGCUGUUUGGAAGCUUUUGCAUAAGCUUUCCCAGUUCUGUCUUCUGUGCAGAGAGGCUACUGUGAACUGUAUUGACUUCUUUUCCUGUACAACUGACUUAAAGCACAAUAAAAGCACUGAGAGAAAGACACAUCUUUCACAAGACUGCCUUUCUCUCUGCAGACAUA